ACAGCAGUCGCCACGGGAAUACGAAGGGGGCUAGCGUUGUUCGGAAUUACUGGGCGUAAAGCGCACGUAGGCGGAUCGAUCAGUCAGGGGUGAAAUCCCAGGGCUCAACCCUGGAACUGCCUUUGAUACUGUCGAUCUGGAGUAUGGAAGAGGUGAGUGGAAUUCCGAGUGUAGAGGUGAAAUUCGUAGAUAUUCGGAGGAACACCAGUGGCGAAGGCGGCUCACUGGUCCAUUACUGACGCUGAGGUGCGAAAGCGUGGGGAGCAAACAGGAUUAGAUACCCGAGUAGUCCCUGUCUCUUAUAC
rnacentral:rRNA from 1 species